GAUUGCAUCUGUUUUAAUAGAUUGUACAUCUGAACCCCCUGACUGAAGAGAAACAUGCCAGUUUCUACGAUGUCUUCCCUAUAAGGGCUCAUAUAUUGCUUGGCCUUGAGGCCACAGUUGUGCUUAAGAAUCCUUCUCUAACCAUUAAUUGCUAAUGGCAAAGGCAGAGAAUGUAAGAACUACAGUCAUUAGAUUCCGUUAAUGGCUUCAUUUUGGGGCACAUGUAUUCAGUGACUGGUGGCUUGUUCCUCGGAAGUGAUGCAACUUGAGUAGAGCUAAUUUUAUUGUUUGGAGAGCGUCUAAAAUGAGUUGGGGCAUUUCUAUUGUAAACCAUGUGUUUAUGUAUUGCACAAUUGUUUUGUAAGUUAUGCGUUGAUUGUUACCAAUAAAGAAAUGCUUACUUGUAGUUUUUUUUUCUGUUCUUAACAUUGAGUCAUGGAUCAUGAGCCAUGUUA
rnacentral:lncRNA from 1 species